UGAACGCUGGCGGCGUGCUUAACACAUGCAAGUCGAACGAGAAAGGGAUUGCUUGCAAUCCUGAGUAGAGUGGCGCACGGGUGAGUAACACGUAAAUAAUCUACCUUUGAGCCUGGGAUAACUAUUCGAAAGGAUAGCUAAUACCGGAUGAGGUAAUGCAUCGCAGGUUGCAUUAUGAAAGAUUGCCUCUUCUUGAAAGCAAUUGUUUGGAGAUGAGUUUGCGGACCAUUAGUUUGUUGGUGGGGUAAAGGCCUACCAAGACUGCGAUGGUUAGCUGGUCUGAGAGGAUGAUCAGUCACACUGGAACUGGAACACGGUCCAGACUCCUACGGGAGGCAGCAGUGAGGAAUUUUGCGCAAUGGGGGCAACCCUGACGCAGCAACGCCGCGUGAGUGAAGAAGGCCUUUGGGUCGUAAAGCUCUGUCAACUGGGAAGAAAUUACAAUUAUCCAAUAGGUAGUUGUAUUGACGGUACCAGUGGAGGAAGCGCCGGCUAACUCC
rnacentral:rRNA from 1 species